rnacentral:rRNA from 1 species
UACGGAGGGUGCAAGCGUUGCUCGGAAUUAUUGGGCGUAAAGGGUAGGUAGGUGGUCCUAUUUGUCUGAGGUGAAAGCCUUGAGCUUAACUCGAGAAGUGCCUCAGAAACGGUGAGACUAGAGUCCUGGAGAGGGUCGUGGAAUUCCCGGUGUAGCGGUGAAAUGCGUAGAGAUCGGGAGGAACACCAGAGGCGAAAGCGGCGACCUGGACAGGUACUGACACUCAACUACGAAAGCGUGGGGAGCAAACAGG